UACGUAGGUGACCAGCGUUGUCCGGAUUUACUGGGCGUAAAGAGCGCGCAGGCGGUCGUUCAAGUCGAGUGUGGAAAGCCCCCGGCUCAACUGGGGAGGUCAUUCGAUACUGAUCGACUUGAAGGCAGGAGAGGGAAGUGGAAUUCCUGGUGUAGCGGUGAAAUGACGCAGAUAUCAGGAGGAACACCGGUGGCGAAGGCGGAUCUCUGGGCCAUUACUGACGCUGAGGAGCGAAAGCGUGGGGAGCGAACAGG
rnacentral:rRNA from 1 species